rnacentral:lncRNA from 1 species
AUUUACACUGUCUUUUUCUCUCUGAGGUUCUUUUUCUUUUUAUCCAAAACUUUCCAGGUUUUUUAUACCUUGUCUGAUAUGGUCGUUUUUUAUAAAAGGUUCUUGACUUUCUUCUUAAAAAUUUAUUAUAUCUCUUAGGUUUUCUAAACUUAUAUUCUCUACAUCCUAUAUCUAGAUUUUCUCCUAUAUGUAAUUUUCUACAAAGUUGUUGAUUUAUGUCUUGUUUCUUUAUCUGACUUCUUUCUCCUAUGCUUACACAUUCUCUUUCUA